AUUGAACGCUGGCGGCAGGCCUAACACAUGCAAGUCGAACGAGUGGCGGACGGGUGAGUAAUGUCUGGGAAACUGCCCGAUGGAGGGGGAUAACUACUGGAAACGGUAGCUAAUACCGCAUACCAUCGGAUGUGCCCAGAUGGGAUUAGCUAGUAGGUGGGGUAACGGCUCACCUAGGCGACGAUCCCUAGCUGGUCUGAGAGGAUGACCAGCAACACGUGAACUGAGACACGGGCCAGACUCCUACGUGAGGCAGCAGUGGGGAAUAUUGCACAUUGGGCGAAAGCCUGCUGCAGCCAUGCCGCGGGUAUGAAGAAGGCCUUCGGGUUGUAAAGUACUUUCAGCGAGGAGGCGUUACCCGCAGAAGAAGCACCGGCUAACUCCGUGCCAGCAGCCGCGGUAAUAC
rnacentral:rRNA from 1 species